UUUUUUAAAAAGUUAAAUGAAGGCUUACUAAGAAUAAGGAAAAUAGAGGAUCAAAAGGAAAAAAAUAGACUUGAGUACCGAAAAUGUUUAAAACUUGGAGGUCAGGAAACAUAAGCAACGUUGAAAGCAAUUGAAAAUAAAAAACACUAAAAACCUGGGAACAAGAGUUAUCUUACACCUGUUGACAAGCUGCUAAUAUAAUGACCUCAUAAAUCAAGGACGGUACAAUCCCCUGCCCACCCUGCCCCUCAGUAGUAAGCAUAGCUGUGAGCAGCAGAAAGCGGUGACUUCAGCAGGAGGGGCUGCUCCUGCCUGAUGCGAAUGAGUCCAGAGUGGACGAGCAGUCCUGGUGGCUCUGUGACGUCCCCAGCGACCGGGCUCUGCAGUGGAACCACUUUCCCGUUCCCGGGUGUUCCUGGCUUCCUGUCAGGUGGCUCCCAGAGUGUACUGCAUCUCAGCCAUGUUCCUGGCAGGAGGAUCGAUCAGCAGAGGGGAAGGUCUGAAGUGGGUCUGUUAUAGACAGCAUAUAUGUGAGUCUUUGUAUCCAUUCAGCAAGCCUGUGUCUUCUGGUAGGAGCAUUUAAUCCAUUCACGUUUAAGGACUUCCAAAACUGUGUUGAAUAAAAGUGGUGACAGUGGAUAUCUUUUGCCUUCUUCCUGAUCUUAGAUGGAACGCUCUCAGCUUUUCACCAUUGAGAAUGAUGUUAGCUGUGCGUUUGUCAUAUAUGGCCUUUAUUAUGUUUAGGUAAGUUCCCUCUAUGCCCAUUUUCUGGAGCGUUCUUAUCAUAAAUCGAUGUUGAAUUUUGUCAAAAGCUUUUUCUGCAUCGAAAUGAUCGUAUGGUUUUUAUUCUUCAGUUUGUUGAUGUGGUGUAUCACACUGAUUUGCAGAUAUUGAAGCAUCGUUGCAUCCCUUGGAUAAAGCCCACUUGAUCAUGGUGUGUGAUCCUUUUAAUGUAUUGUUGGAUUCAGUUUACUAGUAUUUGAUUGAGGAUUUUUGCACCUAUGUUUGUCAGUGAUACUGACCUGUAAUUUUUUUUGUGGUAUCUGUCUGGUUUUGAUAUCAGGGUGAUGAUGGAUGGCCUCAUAGAAUGAGCUUGGGAGUAUUCCUUCCUCUGCAAUUUUUUGGAAGAGUUUCAGAAGGAUAGGUGUUAACUCUUCUCUAAAUGUUGAUAGAAUUUGCCUGUGAAGCCAUGUGGUCCUGGACUUUUCUUUGCUGGAAAUUUUUAAAUCACUGUUUCCAUUUCAGUACUUGUGAUUAUUCCGUUCAUAUUUUGUAUUUUUUUCUGGUUCAGUCUUGGAAGGUUGUAUCUUUCUAAGAAUUUGUCCAUUUCUUCUAGGUUGUCCGUUUUAUUGGUAUACAGUUGUUUGUAGUAGUCUAUUAUGAUUCGUUUUUCUGUGAUGCCAGUUGUAACUUUUUCAUUUCUGAUUUUAUUGAUUUGAGCCCUCUCCCUUUUUUUCUUGAUGAGUCUGGCUAAAGGUUUAUCCAUUUUGUUUAUCUUCUCGAAGACGCAGCUUUUAGUUUCAUUGAUCUUUUUUGUUGUUUUGUCAUUUAUUUCUGCUCUGAUCUUUAUGAUUUCUUUACUUUUACUAACUUUGGUGUGUUUUUUUUGUACUU